rnacentral:ncRNA from 1 species
UUUUUUGAGAGUUUGAUCCUAGCUCAGGAUGAACGCUGGCGGUGUGCCUUAGGCAUGCAAGUCGAACGGGUCGUAGCAAUACGACCAGUGGCAGACGGGUGAGUAAUGCGCAGGAAUCUACCUCGUAGUGGGGGAUAGCUGCCCGAAAGGGCAGGUAAUACCGCAUGUGAUCGCAAGAUCAAAGUCGCAAGACGCUAUGAGAGGAGCCUGCGUCCUAUCAGCUUGUUGGUGGGGUAAUGGCCUACCAAGGCUACGUCGGGUAGCCGGUGUGAGAGCACGACCGGCCACAAGGUCACUGAGACACGGGACCUACACCUACGGGUGGCAGCAACCGGGAA